rnacentral:sRNA from 2 species
GACGAACCACCGCCCAAUCGCCCGUAACGGCGAGCCGGGGAACCAGGUAAGUGGGGUGUAGCCGUUCGCGGCCGGGCGUUCUUCCCGCCCGAACCCGUCAGCUAACCCGGUCGGCGGCUGAAUGGAAGAAAG